rnacentral:rRNA from 1 species
UACGUAGGGUGCAAGCGUUGUCCGGAAUUAUUGGGCGUAAAGAGCGUGUAGGCGGCUUGGUAGGUCCGCUGUGAAAACUCGAGGCUCAACCUCGAGAUGUCGGCGGAAACCACUUGGCUAGAGUCCGGAAGAGGAGAGUGGAAUUCCUGGUGUAGCGGUGAAAUGCGCAGAUAUCAGGAAGAACACCCGUGGCGAAGGCGGCUCUCUGGGACGGUACUGA